AUGCAGUCGUACGGUAGCAGGCCUUCGGGCGCUGACGAGUGGCGGACGGGUGAGUAACGCGUAGGAAUCUGCCUCGUAGUGGGGGACAACGUGGGGAAACUCACGCUAAUACCGCAUACGCCCCAAGGGGGAAAGGAGGGGAUCUUCGGACCUUUCGCUAUGAGAUGAGCCUGCGUUAGAUUAGCUAGUUGGUAGGGUAAAGGCCUACCAAGGCGACGAUCUAUAGCUGGUCUGAGAGGACGAUCAGCCACACUGGGACUGAGACACGGCCCAGACUCCUACGGGAGGCAGCAGUGGGGAAUAUUGGACAAUGGGCGAAAGCCUGAUCCAGCAAUACCGCGUGUGUGAAGAAGGCCUUAGGGUUGUAAAGCACUUUCAAUUGGGAGGAAAACCUACCGGUCAGUACCCGGUAGCUUGACAUUACCUUUAGAAGAAGCACCGGCUAAC
rnacentral:rRNA from 1 species